CCUUUUUUCAAGAUUCCGUGUGUUGGUUUUCUUCAAUUCCUCCAUAUGCUCACUGCAACGAAAAAGAAAUUAGACCUUAUCUCAGUUACAUAGUGACCACAUUCUUUAAAAAUAAUUGAUUUUACUGGUAGCUUACUUUAUCCAUGGAAUGGCCUCAUCACAGUUGGAUAUUAUGUAGUGCCUCAUCCUAUGCAAGUCAAAAGAAGACGCAGUCUUUAUUUGAGAAGUCUAGCCUCCCAAGCAAUAGGAACUGGAAAGUGCAUCAUAAUAUCAAAAAAUGUUGUAGGGAAUAUUAUCUCAAGCCGAGAAAGAGUCUGUCCAAUCGAAUUCUUAAGUUGUUCAAUUCCAGAAUCCUCAAGCUCCUUUGAACAUAUUGAGUUAAGAAACCUGUUGAGCUCGAUCAAUGGGAUCACUACAUCUUCAGGCAAUAUGUGGCAUACCACCAAGGGUAAGAGUUUUUGUAAUAUAUCAUGGUAGUCAUGACUUUUAAGUCCAACAACCUUGCAACCAUCAACAUCAACACAUCUCCUGAUAUUAGAGGCAUAACCAUCGGGCAUCUUAACGCCUUCUAGAAAUUUGCACAUAAUUUUCUUUUCAGAAUCACCUAAAGAGUACAACGCUAGUGGCAAAGUAUAUUUACCUUUCUCGAGCAAUGGAUGUUGAUCCUUCCAUAUACCCAAUUCUUGCAGAUCAAAUCGAGCCUUCUCACUAUCCUUACAUUUACCUGCUAAGCCAAGUGUCCGUGUUUAGACCCGGCAACCUACCGAGGGGGUACCCGAGGUAGCGUUUUAUGCGUGGAGCUCACCGAGAUCAGGAACUCGAUGGUGAACUCGAACACAUGAUUUAGAUAGGUUCAGGUCGCUUAUGUCGCGUAAUACCCUACGUCCCGUGUGUUGGUUGGGUUGUAUUGAUUGAACUUAUUUAGAGGGGGUCCCUGCCUGUGACACCCGGCCCAAUUUGGUUGGCCCAGUGUGGCCCAUUAGCGUAGGUGCGCAUGUUUAGUACCACAUUGCUAGUUUAGCAAGGGUGGAGGCAACUUAUAAGCCUUCGUCAACUAGCCAUAGCACCUUCGGGUUAACCCUUUUACACGAAGCGAGGACGAAAGUGUAAGCAGGGUGCUAUGUGUACGCGUGCCCGCCCCUCGGAAGGGUUGGGCGGUGCGGCUUUGGAGGACGGGGUGUUACAAAUGGUAUCAGAGCCGACCCUCGCGGUUGCGCGUACGGGUCAGUGUGCGGGCAUAUGGCACAUGGCGUGUGUGGGCCUGAGAUGGGACACACGGCAUGGCAUAUUGCGCCGGCACUGGACGUACGGUCGUGCGCUUAGAGGGAACGUUCCUGGACAUUUUCCCAUGCGUGGGUGAGUUGGACCGACGAGGACGUCGGGUUCUUUGAGGGGGGGUGAAUGUGACACCCGGCCCAAUUUGGUUGGCCCAGUGUGGCCCAUUAGCGUAGGUGCGCAUGUUUAGUACCACAUUGCUAGUUUAGCAAGGGUGGAGGCAACUUAUAAGCCUUCGUCAACCAGCCAUAGCACCUUCGGGUUAACCCUUUUACACGAAGCGAGGACGAAAGUGUAAGCAGGGUGCUAUGUGUACGCGUGCCCGCCCCUCGGAAGGGUUGGGCGGUGCGGCUUUGGAGGACGGGGUGUUACACUGCCUCACCUUAUAUUGCCGGAGGCAGGGUUACAAGUCGGUUGUAUUACAAGAAUACUAGUCGGAUUCGACUAGAGAGUCCUACUCUAAUUGCUACGAGUAGUUUCCUAAUCCUCGACUAGUCCCUAUCCUCCAUGUAGACCACACUGUCCUGCACCGUAGUCUCCAUGUUUGACACGUCUCGAUGUACAGCCCCAUAUGGUAGGACUGCCCAAACCUUCUGGUGGGCCCAUAGAUGUAUGGAUGAGAAGCCCCCAAGUACUUUUUAGUCAAAUGUAGCAGUCCCGACUAGUUUGUGGUGCUCUUUUUUGUACUCCAUCGGAUUGAGUCUUCAAAGGAACUCGAGUACUACCAUGUAGCUAGAAUGUGUUCAAGCUUUAUUUAACUCAGUCUUGUAUCUUCAACCUUGAAUCUUAUAUGGAAGUGCGAUGAAAAUCACACUCUAUAUGGAGUAGCCCCCAAGCCUUCGGUUGAAUCGAAGAAUCAGGCUAAGGGUCAAUCUUGUUAUUUCACAUCUCUUUUGCCUUGAAACCCAAAGAAAAAACUUUUUAGCUGAUGGGCACGUGGCACGCAGCCCCCAAGCCAUUGCACGACUAGUUUGGGUAUAAGGGUCAACCAUUGGUCCACAUGACCGUUCGCCAAUAGUAACCUUAUCUCUUCCGAAAAAAUUGGAAACUAUCAAGCGACAAUUGCGGGCAUUUAAAAAAUAGAAUAUUCUUGUUAAUCUCGCCUCUGUUUUAACUAUGCCUCGGUAAUAAAUAAUGGAGGAAUUAAUCCCUUCAAUUUCACCUGAGCCAUUCUGCUUGUUCAUCUUCCACACUGUAGCCUUAGCACCACCGCUUGCAAUCCUUGACCUUGAGUGCCAUCCUCGCUACCGCUUAGCCCCCGAGCGCAUGCGCAAGAAGACCCUCGUGGCAACAUGAAUGGGGAAGAAAGCAAUGUCACAACCAGUUUCUGGACAAAAUCAAAUGCAUAGCAUAUGUGUGCCAGGAUCCGUUCUCACACAUAUGUUGACUUCAUAAGUGAAUACAUCAAAGACAGUCUUCAAAAAUGUAAAUAAAAUAGUAGACAACUUGUUACACUCUGAAAGCUAGACACGAAGGUCUUAAUCGUUCACCAUUAAACUUAACAUGCACACACACAGCGAAGCUUCUCCACAGGCUUGACUAGUGAACGCCUGCCUAGAACUCCUCAAAGUCAUCAAAGAACUCCACAUCGUCACAAGCUUCUAAAUAGCGUUUGGGCAAGGGUGAGUACACUUAUGGUUGGUACUCAGCAAGUGGGGGAAACAUGCAUGGCUCACAUUUUAGC
rnacentral:lncRNA from 1 species